rnacentral:rRNA from 1 species
AUUGAACGCUGGCGGCAGGCCUAACACAUGCAAGUCGAGCGGAGCGGCGGACGGGUGAUUAAUGCCUAGGAAUCUGCCUGGUAGUGGGGGAUAACGUCCGGAAACGGGCGCUAAUACCGCAUACUAUCAGAUGAGCCUAGGUCGGAUUAGCUAGUUGGUGGGGUAAAGGCCUACCAAGGCGACGAUCCGUAACUGGUCUGAGAGGAUGAUCAGUCACACUGGAACUGAGACACGGUCCAGACUCCUACGGGAGGCAGCAGUGGGGAAGCUUCCGCAAUGGACGAAAGUCUGACGGAGCAACGCCGCGUGAGUGAUGACGGCCUUCGGGUUGUAAAGCACUUUCAGCGGGGAGGCGUUACCCGCAGAAGAAGCACCGGCUAACUCCGUGCCAGCAGCCGCGGUAAUAC